UCAAUACAAGUUGGAUGGGUGUCACUCUG
rnacentral:piRNA from 1 species